rnacentral:rRNA from 1 species
AUACGGAGGGUGCAAGCGUUAUUCGGAAUCACUGGGCGUAAGGACGCGUAGGCGGGUUGGCAAGUCAGAUGUGAAAUCCCACAGCUUAACUGUAGAACUGCAUUUGAAACUGCUAAACUAGAGUAUGGGAGGGGGAGAUGGAAUUAGUGGUGUAGGGGUAAAAUCCGUAGAUAUCACUAGGAAUACCGAAAGCGAAGGCGAUCUCCUGGAACAUAACUGACGCUAAGGCGUGAAAGCGUGGGGAGCAAACAGGAUUAGAUACCCUAGUAGUCC